GACGGCCCCAGCGGCGAAGCGAGCGCGCUGCGCACACACUACGCCUCUUAAAGGCUCCGCGAGAGGUUGAGGAUGGAGCCUAAGACUUAGUCUCUCGCAACUUGGCGUUGCCACUAAAUGCGCCGCUCGCGCUCCACCCGGGACUCUCGGCGCAUUAUUAUAGAGCCAACGACGCCAAAGACAGAUAGCGCUUCCCUCUUCUUUGUAGAGGGGUACGCAGCGAAGGUGGCAAGGUGCCGGAAUCUGAGCUUGCAAAAGAAAGAUUUGGCUAAUUCUUUGCUUAAUGAACUCUCAUCACUUGCUCUGUUUGGUAGCUCCUUUUUGUUUGUUUGUCUUAUAGGAAAAGAAGCCGUUCAAUAUCUGCCUUUUUCUUUGGAGGGUUAAUAUUUUAUAGAUUUGCGUCCUGACAUUUUAAUUGCUCAAAUGAAGCAUCUCGGAUGCAGGGAAGCACAAGGAGACUUCACUUCAUUGUCAUGACGCAAUUAAAAUAAAUUCCCCUCAACUUUAUCCUGUCUUAUUGGUUUUAGCUAACUGGCCAGCCAGUGACCUGUCACACACCCGGUCAUGAAAAGAGGGAGAAAGACCUUUCUGUCUGCUGAUGGACAGGCGGAGGCAGCCGCUUAGCCUCGCCUGUGCACAGCUUCUGUACACACAUGUAAACGCACAUGUAUCAGAUGCACAUUUGUCAAUGUAUACAGACAAAGACGUCCAAAACGGUGCUUCUAGGUCAUAGAAGAGUUGAAUACGGACUUCAUUAUUCAAAUUCUCUUUAAACAUCCAUAUAGUCAUUAAAACACCCAGAGAGCCUGCUCCAAAUUGGAAAUAAUGCCAGCAUAACUCACAAGAAACACAAACAAGCCAUAGUCUUCAUCCCACAGUCUAUGUCAUUCUACCCCGGAUGCUCAAUCCUCUGUCAUUGAAUGGGUGCCUGCGUUUUAAACAUCAAAUAUAUAGAACCAGCCCCAGGACAAAUUAUAUUCCACUGACUAAGCUUGCUGUUUGAUUAGGACCAGUUAGUUGAUUAUGAGCACUCCACACUUGUAUGGGAAAUUUGUGUUUAAUAGGGAAUACUUUGCACCAAGCCAAAACUAAAACCAUACGUUAAGCAGGUUUACCAACAAUGAAAUUAUUUUCAUACAAAAGAUGCUGAGCUACUGGGUGGAGGGGGAUGGAGGACCCUACAAAGAGCAAAUUGACAACUUCUGAAAAGCAUCUUUGACAGCAUAAAAUUUGGCAAUAUAAAGUUACUUUAAUAAAAUAAACCGGAUGUGUAAUUGACAUGGGUAGACUGCACUUUUGGGCAGUUUCUUUUACACAUACAGGCAGAGUGUGAGAUGAAGAGCACAUGAAGAUGUGGGCAGACAGAAGCUGGCUUUUCGGCAAGGAAAAAAUCCUAUUUUUUUAAGUCCUCCUUAGCCUUCUCUUUCUCUACUGAAAUAAUAUAUUGCACUAAAGUGGCAGGUGCUGUUAUUAUUUGAAUGUUUUACGAAAUAACAAGCUAUAGCAGGUAUUAGACUAUCAUAAACCUGGUGUGUUAAAUAAGGUGGCCACAGAGUAAAACUAGACUGAGCGUUGCUGGCUGACUAGAGAUACCACAUAACUUUCUCCUACAGAGAACAAGAAAGGAAGAUGGAAAAUGAAUCAUUUCAGAGAAGUCUGGUUUUUUUCUUUUAAUUUCUCUGAUUUGAGGAAUUAUUUGAUGCUGCAAAUGUCAGAUUAUAGAGGGCAACUCAGCAUAUAGUGAGACUGAGGUUGACACAGGAAAUCUAAUAGGUAUUCCCAUCUCGACUUAAUAGAUGAGCAUAAUUGAUUACGGAGAAAUGUUAAUCUUGCCUCUCCAAGUGCAGCCAUUUUCAUGGCAAGAUUACUUUUUGCUCACACACAGAGAUGGUUUUUGAGAAGGAGAAGCUACACACACACACACACACACACACACACACACACACACAGAAUUUGAAGGCUGUAAUUUCUUUAGGUAGAAAAAUCAAGAAUUUCCCACUUACAGAACUGCAGCCAGCUAGACACAUGGCCACACAGCUACCAUCAAGUUAGGGCUUCUUCACUUUGUAUUUGAGGGCUCUUUUAGCUACAGAAAUGAUGUUUUAAAAGGGGAAAAAAAUGCUAUGUGAAUUGUAGUUAAUUUUACUGAGUGGAUGGAGAAUCAGGACAGCCAGACUGAGGGGUUAUAAAAAAAAGCAAAAAUAUUUUAAAUACCCAUUUCAAAGAUGCUCAGUUGUCUUAACUCUGAGAUUUAAAAGUCCUGAUUACAAGAUACAUAUCUACAUAUUAUUUUUAAAAACUCAACCAAGCCUUUUACUGCAAAUGUAAAUUUAUUUUAAUGGGAAUUGUGGCAAGCUUUAUUUGACUGGUCAAAGUUAGGGGAAAACAUUUGUCUUAAUCUACAAAAAAAAAAAAAAAAUUCCCCAACUCCCAGGAAUAUGGUUCCUUGCAGAAAGUGGUUGACUGGUCUGUAAUUCUUUACAGAUUAAAUCACAAUAUGAAUACAGACCCCAGCAAUGCCGAGUUUAACUCUGAGCUCAGUAGAAUCCAGAAUCCAUUGAAUUUCUCCUUUCCCUCAAUCUAGUCGUGUGUGUUUUUCUCUUCCACCACACUGGAGCUCCGUGAAUAGGGAAGGGGCUUCCAUUGUGUCCCUCUGAACUUCCAAGUCAAUGCAAUUUUUAACCACUGGCUUGUGGUACUUUGAAAAUCACCAGGGGCUGUCAGAGUUGGGUCCUCUGAAAAAUUUACAGUGCUAAAUCAGAGCAUAUGCUGGGAGGGAAAAAAAAAUUGCUUAAGAUUGGAGCAAGUACAGUAUCUGUCUGCCCCCUAGUGUAAGAGUCCUCGCUGCCUAAAAUCCAACUUUAAAAGAAAAGGAGCCCUUAAAGGGAAACGACUUGGGGCUCACGUAGGCAUAGGAGAAUGAAACUUCUGUACAUUUUAAUCUGAAUAAUUCUUCAGGAUUUAAAAUUAUUUGGCUGUGGCUUGGUUGGACUGCACUGGGAUCUCGCUGCCUCUACGUUUCUCUCUUACUGGUGAAGAGGUGAUUUUUUUUUUUUUUUGAACUGGGUUUAUGUGCGUCCCCCUCACCCCUCCUCUCUUUUUCUUUCUGCCUCUGUCGUCUCUCUCGCUGGCUUUUUAAAAAUGAGGAACCGUUCCAUGACCAUUUUGCACACAGCACAGAAUUGCUUCUAAAGUCAGCCCUGCGCGGUUGCAAUAGACAGCAAAAAGGUAAACCGUUUGCCUGAAAUCCGCACGCCAGCUCCACCACCCCGCCCGAUGAAUCCCAAAUGGGGACCCAGUAGCCCAGCCCCACCGACUGAUUUCCUUGCUACUGGCCCAAUGGCCAGGAUGGCUACCGGGUGGCGAGUCUCCGUCCCCCCCUCCCCUCCCGCCAGCAAGGAAUCUGAAAAACCAGUGGAUUCCAGGUUCGCAGCUCGGCCUCCUGGGCAGGUGAAACCACAAACCUUUAACCUUGAACCAUUUGAAAGUGGAAAAGUUCAAAGAAGCUUGGAAGUACCCACACCUGGACUCACUGACAUUGGGGUUCUAUCAUGGAAUCAAGAAGGUGUGGACACCUACCUGUGGGUCGAAGCUUGGGGGAAUGUAGCUUCAGCUUCCUGCGGAAGCCAGAGUUCUGGAGAUAGACAGCUGUUCAAAGAAAUGAAGAGAGUUUGUGAACUGCAAAUUCUAAGCAGGCCCUGGAGAAGAUUUGCCAAAGAAACUUACUUCUAAAGAAGCCAGUGAUCUCAUAAGAAUGAUCAGCAGGGUAAAUCAAGUCAAAAGACUUCGAUGCUCUACAAUGUCCAGCAUCCAGAGCAGAUACCUGUGAUGACAAUUGCAUAGGACCCAGGAGUAGCUGUUCUGACCAGACAUCACUCCUUCACUGGAUGGCGCCUUUAGUGCCAUCUAUGUUUGUCCUCUGCCACAUCUCCCCACCAUGAUGUUCUCUGUCACUGAAAGCCACAAGAUCACAUCCUGGAUGGACAGGUGCCACUGACACUGCAAUACAUUCCACACUGAAGACCAAAGUGCUUUGGCUUUCUCCCCUUCUUCCAACAUCUUCCCACAAAGCCAGGUAUUAGUGAAGGCCCUUGAAAAGCUGCACAAUGAAACUGCUUCUCCAGAUUAUCCCUUUGGGAUUAAGGAAUGGAACUUGUCCUACUGUUGGUCAACAGUAAACUCAACUGACUUUUCAUGGGGACGAUUGUCAUCUCUCAGGAAGCCAGAAAGCUACCCUUCCCUUCUCUAACUUCAUUCUGCCAGAAUUGAUAAGUGGCAUGAGUCUGUCGGCAGGUGCCGUGUACCUUGUGGGAGCGUAACACUCCAGCGCACCCUUUGGAGGCAGUACAGAUGGAACAGACUCCCCUCCCCAUGGAAGAUGGAGGAAAAUUGAUGGUCCAGUUUCUGUGCAUCCUUCAGUCUCCAUUCUUUAUCAGUUGCUUGGCCGCCAUUGUACUUCUGAUGCAGCUGCUAUCUUCAGACCUCCUGGACUGCCCAAGAAAGGGAGUGGGAGCUAAUGCUCCAGAUGGGCGGAACAGCAACAAGAUGAACUGAAGGUGGCCAAAAAUAACAGUGCCUUCCAGAUGAGGUGACCUCAGAGCCAAGAGCAUCAUGGGGUAGAGUAUCUUGUUCCUAGUUUUAUGACCUAAAAAGUACACAGAAGAUCCAAAGAUACUACAGAGAGAAGGAAUAAAGUCUGCAGAGAACAAGGAAAUGGGAUUAGUUAUAAUUUUUUAAGUUGAAUUUCUUUGUGCACACACAUACACAAGAAAACACAAGCCUUUUAUAUAUGUAUGAAGAGAUUCCUAGAUCUCUAGUUGGAUAGACAGACAGAUAGAUAGAUAGACAAAUAGAUAUAACAAAAUACAAUAGAAGACCAAAAUGAAGAAAAAGAUAAAGACAACAUUGCCUUUCUUUGUUUGCAAUCGAAAUAAGUUUAAUAAAUCUUCACUGAGAACCAA